rnacentral:rRNA from 1 species
CGGACGGGUGAGUAAUGUCUGGGAAACUGCCUGAUGGAGGGGGAUAACUACUGGAAACGGUAGCUAAUACCGCAUAACGUCGCAAGACCAAAGAGGGGGACCUUCGGGCCUCUUGCCAUCAGAUGUGCCCAGAUGGGAUUAGCUAGUAGGUGGGGUAACGGCUCACCUAGACGACGAUCCCUAGCUGGUCUGAGAGGAUGACCAGCCACACUGGAACUGAGACACGGUCCAGACUCCUACGGGAGGCAGCAUG